GAUGAACGCUAGCUACAGGCUUAACACAUGCAAGUCGAGGGGAAACGACAUCGAAAGCUUGCUUUUGAUGGGUGUCGACCGGCGCACGGGUGAGUAACGCGUAUCCAACCUGCCCACCACUUGGGGAUAACCUUGCGAAAGUAAGACUAAUACCCAAUGAUAUCCCACGAAGGCAUCCGAAUGGGAUUAAAGAUUUAUCGGUGAUGGAUGGGGAUGCGUCUGAUUAGCUUGUUGGCGGGGUAACGGCCCACCAAGGCUACGAUCAGUAGGGGUUCUGAGAGGAAGGUCCCCCCACAUUGGAACUGAGACACGGUCCAAACUCCUACGGGAGGCAGCAGUGAGGAAUAUUGGUCAAUGGGCGAGAGCCUGAACCAGCCAAGUAGCGUGCAGGAUGACGGCCCUAUGGGUUGUAAACUGCUUUUAUAAGGGAAUAAAGUGAGAGUCGUGACUCUUUUUGCAUGUACCUUAUGAAUAAGGACCGGCUAAUUCCGUG
rnacentral:rRNA from 1 species